rnacentral:rRNA from 1 species
GGGUUGUGAGGUUAAGCGACUAAGCGUACACGGUGGAUGCCCUGGCAGUCAGAGGCGAUGAAGGACGUGCUAAUCUGCGAUAAGCGUCGGUAAGGUGAUAUGAACCGUUAUAACCGGCGAUUUCCGAAUGGGGAAACCCAGUGUGAUUCGUCACACUAUCAUUAACUGAAUCCAUAGGUUAAUGAGGCGAACCGGGGGAACUGAAACAUCUAAGUACCCCGAGGAAAAGAAAUCAACCGAGAUUCCCCCAGUAGCGGCGAGCGAACGGGGAGGAGCCCAGAGCCUGAAUCAGUGUGUGUGUUAGUGGAAGCGUCUGGAAAGGCGCGCGAUACAGGGUGACAGCCCCGUACACAAAAAUGCACAUGCUGUGAGCUCGAUGAGUAGGGCGGGACACGUGGUAUCCUGUCUGAAUAUGGGGGGACCAUCCUCCAAGGCUAAAUACUCCUGACUGACCGAUAGUGAACCAGUACCGUGAGGGAAAGGCGAAAAGAACCCCGGCGAGGGGAGUGAAAAAGAACCUGAAACCGUGUACGUACAAGCAGUGGGAGCACGCUUAGGCGUGUGACUGCGUACCUUUUGUAUAAUGGGUCAGCGACUUAUAUUCUGUAGCAAGGUUAACCGAAUAGGGGAGCCGAAGGGAAACCGAGUCUUAACUGGGCGUUAAGUUGCAGGGUAUAGACCCGAAACCCGGUGAUCUAGCCAUGGGCAGGUUGAAGGUUGGGUAACACUAACUGGAGGACCGAACCGACUAAUGUUGAAAAAUUAGCGGAUGACUUGUGGCUGGGGGUGAAAGGCCAAUCAAACCGGGAGAUAGCUGGUUCUCCCCGAAAGCUAUUUAGGUAGCGCCUCGUGAAUUCAUCUCCGGGGGUAGAGCACUGUUUCGGCAAGGGGGUCAUCCCGACUUACCAACCCGAUGCAAACUGCGAAUACCGGAGAAUGUUAUCACGGGAGACACACGGCGGGUGCUAACGUCCGUCGUGAAGAGGGAAACAACCCAGACCGCCAGCUAAGGUCCCAAAGUCAUGGUUAAGUGGGAAACGAUGUGGGAAGGCCCAGACAGCCAGGAUGUUGGCUUAGAAGCAGCCAUCAUUUAAAGAAAGCGUAAUAGCUCACUGGUCGAGUCGGCCUGCGCGGAAGAUGUAACGGGGCUAAACCAUGCACCGAAGCUGCGGCAGCGACACUGUGUGUUGUUGGGUAGGGGAGCGUUCUGUAAGCCUGUGAAGGUGUGCUGUGAGGCAUGCUGGAGGUAUCAGAAGUGCGAAUGCUGACAUAAGUAACGAUAAAGCGGGUGAAAAGCCCGCUCGCCGGAAGACCAAGGGUUCCUGUCCAACGUUAAUCGGGGCAGGGUGAGUCGACCCCUAAGGCGAGGCCGAAAGGCGUAGUCGAUGGGAAACAGGUUAAUAUUCCUGUACUUGGUGUUACUGCGAAGGGGGGACGGAGAAGGCUAUGUUGGCCGGGCGACGGUUGUCCCGGUUUAAGCGUGUAGGCUGGUUUUCCAGGCAAAUCCGGAAAAUCAAGGCUGAGGCGUGAUGACGAGGCACUACGGUGCUGAAGCAACAAAUGCCCUGCUUCCAGGAAAAUCCUCUAAGCAUCAGGUAACAUCAAAUCGUACCCCAAACCGACACAGGUGGUCAGGUAGAGAAUACCAAGGCGCUUGAGAGAACUCGGGUGAAGGAACUAGGCAAAAUGGUGCCGUAACUUCGGGAGAAGGCACGCUGAUAUGUAGGUGAAGCGACUUGCUCGUGGAGCUGAAAUCAGUCGAAGAUACCAGCUGGCUGCAACUGUUUAUUAAAAACACAGCACUGUGCAAACACGAAAGUGGACGUAUACGGUGUGACGCCUGCCCGGUGCCGGAAGGUUAAUUGAUGGGGUCAGCGCAAGCGAAGCUCUUGAUCGAAGCCCCGGUAAACGGCGGCCGUAACUAUAACGGUCCUAAGGUAGCGAAAUUCCUUGUCGGGUAAGUUCCGACCUGCACGAAUGGCGUAAUGAUGGCCAGGCUGUCUCCACCCGAGACUCAGUGAAAUUGAACUCGCUGUGAAGAUGCAGUGUACCCGCGGCAAGACGGAAAGACCCCGUGAACCUUUACUAUAGCUUGACACUGAACAUUGAGCCUUGAUGUGUAGGAUAGGUGGGAGGCUUUGAAGUGUGGACGCCAGUCUGCAUGGAGCCGACCUUGAAAUACCACCCUUUAAUGUUUGAUGUUCUAACGUUGACCCGUAAUCCGGGUUGCGGACAGUGUCUGGUGGGUAGUUUGACUGGGGCGGUCUCCUCCUAAAGAGUAACGGAGGAGCACGAAGGUUGGCUAAUCCUGGUCGGACAUCAGGAGGUUAGUGCAAUGGCAUAAGCCAGCUUGACUGCGAGCGUGACGGCGCGAGCAGGUGCGAAAGCAGGUCAUAGUGAUCCGGUGGUUCUGAAUGGAAGGGCCAUCGCUCAACGGAUAAAAGGUACUCCGGGGAUAACAGGCUGAUACCGCCCAAGAGUUCAUAUCGACGGCGGUGUUUGGCACCUCGAUGUCGGCUCAUCACAUCCUGGGGCUGAAGUAGGUCCCAAGGGUAUGGCUGUUCGCCAUUUAAAGUGGUACGCGAGCUGGGUUUAGAACGUCGUGAGACAGUUCGGUCCCUAUCUGCCGUGGGCGCUGGAGAACUGAGGGGGGCUGCUCCUAGUACGAGAGGACCGGAGUGGACGCAUCACUGGUGUUCGGGUUGUCAUGCCAAUGGCACUGCCCGGUAGCUAAAUGCGGAAGAGAUAAGUGCUGAAAGCAUCUAAGCACGAAACUUGCCCCGAGAUGAGUUCUCCCUGACCCUUUAAGGGUCCUGAAGGAACGUUGAAGACGACGACGUUGAUAGGCCGGGUGUGUAAGCGCAGCGAUGCGUUGAGCUAACCGGUACUAAUGAACCGUGAGGCUUAACCUUACAACGCCGAAG